CAAAAAGGAUAACAAGGUCUCAAAAACAAAAGUUAAACGAUAAACAGUCAUGACGGUUACCAAAGCAUAUCAAUUUGGGCUCGAGUACGCAGAAGUUUGUAACAAACAUACCUCCAUGCGGUCUGCUUCCUUGUUUUGAUGAUCAUUUUCCAAUUGAAUCUAUUUUUGUUGUGUUUUUAGAUAUCUAAUCUUGGGCUGCAACCUGAUGUACGAACAUCAUGUAACUGGCUAGGUCUGAUCCCUGAUGGGAAAGCACGUGGAUCGGUGGCCGGCGCACUCCGGCUCCGCCUGCACAACAAUCUGACUGUGUCCAAUUAGAUAGCACCCAAGUAAGCUUCAUCUCGCUCAACCAGCGCCAAGUUGUAGUUGGAACACGAAUGAUACGGAACAGAUAUUAGGCCGUGGAAAAGUUGGAAGACACGCAGUCGGAUUGACAGAAGCAUCUCAUGCACUGUGGAUCUCGGUAACAGGAGAAAGAUUUACAUUGCUGGUCCAUCAGGGCUAAACACACGAAAAACCACCUCCAGCAAUGAGUUGCAGCAUGGCACCAAUGUGCAGUUCAAAGAGUCCGAGGAGGAGAGCGAUAAUGAUAAAUAUGGCGAGUUUGGGACAGUUAUGUACCAGAUGAGGGGGAGGCUCACAUUGAGGCACAUCCUACCGGAGAGAGUGUGGGUAUAUCAGCGGCAAUAUAUCGAUAUAAUUGAUUAUUAAUCUAGUGUGUUUUCCUUUUUCACAGUUGGCCAAUGAGAGUCUGUCAGCAUUAUGAAAAAGUAUCGUAUCCUGCAUCUCCUGGACAUCUUUGGCUAUUUACUGUCUACAGUGUCGCCUAUGCAAGUUAUAAAAGAACGCCGUGGAUUUGCAGAGCACGUCAGCCUAUGUUUUGAGAGUUGCUGGUCUCGCCUCGCCAAGACACGCGAAAGGACACGGAGUUGAUGGAGUUGAUGAGCUGGCCUUGACCUAUGGCACUCAUUUAUUUAAUGGCGAAUAAACGCUACCAACUGCCCGAGGGUUCCUAUAACAAGCUGGACAAGGCCUUUGGGGUGGUGCACGUCCCGGCACUCAAGAUCUUUGACGAUAACGAGGAGCUGCAUCCUAUCGUUGGCUAUUCGUAGGUUGAGCUGUAUGAAGCAGAUAUUGAGCAUGGCCAUUCGUCUGACGCAGGCCUUUGUGGCUGUUUAAUGCUUGAUGGAGGGCUUUCGUCGGCUGUGCCUGCAAUAUAUCUGGCCCAGAUGGUCACUUAGGGCGUGAGCAUGGAAUCAUACUUGCAAUAAUUGCCGCACUUCAGUGUCUUCAUAUAUUGUCAAGCGAUGCUGAGGAGGUAAGGUGUAUAUUGAUUCUGCCAGCAGCUAUCUUUAACCGUUUGGUGUUUUUCAGAAAAUCGAAACCGUUUCCGGCAUCAUACAGCUGAGAGUUUUCAUACAGAGUUUGAGGAAUGUAGUGGUCUCUGGCAGCUCUACAGUACACAAAUGGCCGAUGGGGUGCUAUUUGCCAACAUUGAGCCAACUAUGUGAUCUACCUGGAGAGUGAAUGCCCCGUCAAAACAACAUUCUUCUCACAGAAGAUCGAGGAAGGCAAGUAUGAUCGACUGAGGACUUUGGGAUGCGAUCAGGAUUACAAAUUCUACAUCGAAGUAGCCCAUUUCCAAUCUGAGAGUGACAGCACGUCGGACUAGGUUAAGAUUAGCAUAACACAUGCAUCCGCCAAUUAUGUAAAUAUAUGAAAUGAAC
rnacentral:lncRNA from 1 species